UAAAGUUUUGAAAAGAGUAUUUAAUGAAAAUCUUGGUAGAAAUUUAAAGGACGUUGCGAUACGAAAGUUGUAAAGAGGCUUAGGCUUGUGACUUACAAGUUUCCUUAAUAGAAAACUUGAAAUUUUACAGUAGGAGAAUGUGAAUUGAAUCAUCUUAAUAACAUUGUAGAAAAAUCAAACGAGAAUUUGUAAGUAAUGGCGAAUGAAAGCAAAUAGGCUGUUGCAAAAAUCAAAAUUAUGAAAUAGCUAAAAAAGGUAAAAGUCCUGUAAUAAAUAAGUUUUUGCACAUUUAAAGUAAUACGAUAUAAAUUGUAUGAAAAAAGGAGUUCCACCUUCUAAAGCUUUAAAAAUUUCUAACCUAUAGUGAACGAGUAUUGUGAAAGAAAGAUAAAUAAAUCCGUAAGGAAUAAAUUGAAAUUGAAUAUUUAAAAAACUUCGAAGUUUUGGUACCACGAAUUGCCUUUUGCAUAAUGAAUCAGCAAGUUAAUAUAUAUUGCAAGUUUAGAAUACAAUAGUUAGACGAAAAAGUAAUAUAAAUUAUACCUGAAACCAAGUGAUCUAGCUGUAAACAAGUUGAAAAUUUAUUAAUUUAAAUUGAAGGACUGAACUCACAUAUGUGGCAAAAUAUGGAGAUGAUUUGUAGUUAGGGAUGAAAGAUCAAUCAAACUUGGAAAUAGCCGGUUUUUCACGAAAAGUAUUUAAGUACUACGUAAUAAAAGUAAAUUGUGUUUAGAGUUACUAAGUAAAGGAAGGAGUAUAAAAGCUUACUAAAUUUAAUAUAACUCCGAAAUGAAUUUUAAUUUUUUAUUACAGACAGUCUUUAAGCGAAAAGGUUUAUAGACGAGAGGAAAACAAUCCAGACCAUUUACUAAGAUCUUUAAAUUAUAUGUUUAGGGAAAAAGAUUUAAAAGAGAACAAAUAGAUUGGAUAAGCUUAGAAGCAGCUUUUCAUUAGAGAAAGCGUUUUAGCUCAUUAUUAAUUUUCUCAAUUUAAAUUAAAAAUAAAGGAGACUGUAAACUAUAUAUCGAUGUAAUGGAUCAAUAUAUUAUUGAUGGUAGUGAAACAUUUUGUAAUUUUAUUAUUUUGUAAAAAUUAAGUAAAAAUAACAAAAAAGCUAAUGCUGAUAUGAGUAACGUAAAUUAUGUGGAAUCAUAAUCGCUUUAUGUUUAAGGUUUUUAAUGAAAGUUCAAAAACAUUAAGUUAGUCGGUCCUUAAGGAGUAAAUGAAAAUUGAAUCUGAAAGGAAUUUAUUUUAUGGAACCAAUUAUAUGCAUACUAUAAGUGAAAAAAAUAAAAGAUUUGUGAUUUGUGAUUUUAAGGGAAUAAUUGACAAACUUUUACUUUCAAGAAAAAAUUAUAAUUUAAGACCGUACUUAGACCGACACUGGUAAAUUGGUUGAGAAAACUAGAGCGAUCGAAUAAAUUAUGUUAAAGGAACUAGGCAAAUUGACUCUGUAAGUUAGCAAUAAAGAGAACCAAAAUGAUUUGGUACAAUAAUAAGAAGCAACGACUGGUUAACAAAACCACAGGACUCUGCAAAUUAUUUAAUACGUAUAGAGUCUGAUGCCUGCCCAGUGCCUAAAAGAGAAAAAGAUAAGUAUAAGCUUAAAUUUGAAUUCUAGGUAAACGGCGGUUCUAACUAUAAGAAUCCUUAGGUAGCGAAAUUCAUUGACGGGUAAAUUCCGUCCUGCAUGAAAGGCUUAACGAUUGCUUUACUGUCUCUAACAUAAAUUCGGUGAAAUUACAAUACCUGUGAAAAUGCAGGUUUCUUACAGUAAGACGGAAAGACCCUAGAUCCUUUACUCUAAUUUUAUAUUGUGAAUGCAUUUUUAUUGUAUAGAAUAAGUGGGAGUACAAACUAACUUGAAAUACCACUCUAUAGAAAGAAAUUUACUUAUUAAAAUAAUAAAAUUUAAAAUAGUAUAAAAAUGAGAGUUUACUUGGGAUGAGUACCUCCUAAAUAAUAACGGAGGUGUACGAAGGUAAAUAAUAUAUAAUGGUGAAAAUUUGCUUGACAAAUAGAUUGAUAAAUCAAAUUGGGACGUAAGUCAGUCAUAGUGAUCCAAUAUUAAAGAGUGGAGUUAGUAUUGCUCAACAAAUAAAAGGAACUCUAGGGAUAACAGAUUCAUCGUGAUUGAAAGCUCGUAUUGAUGUCACGGUUUGAUACCUCGAUGUCGACUCAUCUUAUCCUGAAACUGAAGCAGGUUUCAAGGGUCUAGUUGUUCGCUAGUUAAAAAGGUACGUGAGUUGGGUUCAGAACGUCGUGAGACAGUUCGGUCCCUAUCUACUGUAAGUAUUGAAAAAUAAAAAGAGUACUUUUAGUACGAGAGGACCAAAGUACAUUAACCCCUGGUAAAUUGAUUGUUAUACCUAUAGCAAGUCUAGUAGCUACGUUAAUUAAUUAGAAAUACUGAAAGAAUCAAAGGUAUGAAAAUAACUUUAAAUUUUUCGUGAACAAUCUAAAAGAUAAUUAGAUAGAUCGAUUUAAAGGUAAAAGUUUAGUAAUAAAUUAGAAUCUUUAAAGACGAAUUUGUUCAAAAACUUUAUACU
rnacentral:rRNA from 1 species